rnacentral:rRNA from 1 species
AUUGAACGCUGGCGGCAGGCCUAACACGUGCAAGUCGAGCGGAUGAAGGGAGCUUGCUCCUGGAUUCAGCGGCGGACGGGUGAGUAAUGCCUAGGAAUCUGCCUGGUAGUGGGGGAUAACGUCCGGAAACGGGCGCUAAUACCGCAUACGUCCUGAGGGAGAAAGUGGGGGAUCUUCGGACCUCACGCUAUCAGAUGAGCCUAGGUCGGACUAGCUAGUUGGUGGGGUAAAGGCCUACCAAGGCGACGAUCCGUAACUGGUCUGAGAGGAUGAUCAGUCACACUGGAACUGAGACACGGUCCAGACUCCUACGGGAGGCAGCAGUGGGGAAUAUUGGACAAUGGGCGAAAGCCUGAUCCAGCCAUGCCGCGUGUGUGAAGAAGGUCUUCGGAUUGUAAAGCACUUUAAGUUGGGAGGAAGGGCAGUAAGUUAAUACCUUGCUGUUUUGACGUUACCAACAGAAUAAGCACCGGCUAACUUCGUG